ensembl:lncRNA
AUUCAUUUAGGAAGGACACUCAUAAUUCAACUGCCACCAUAGAUUAAUUCUAUAUUUCUGAUGUUACCUCCAUGCAGUCCAUGCAGUUCAGUUUGUAGGAAAAGAUAACUCAUGGUACUUCAUAUUCUUUUCUCAGUGCUGCAGCUGAUUGUCUGCUCAGUAAACUCAGAGUUAAACACAACAGAUACACUGCCCUGGAUGUGUAAUCUGGCUAAAAUGACAAAUGAAAAAUGUUUAGAAAAAUGCAGCUGGCAAAAGCUGUUAAUUAUUUGUACUAUCACUACUUAAAAUACUUUCAAUAACAAAAUAUUUGCUACCAAUAAAGACUUCUUUGAUGGUUGCUUAAGCUGUUUUUUUUUUCAGUUACAAGAAAUGCACACAAAGGAUCCAACUCUACAUUGGUUAACUUAAAUUUAAAUGUUUAAGUGAGCCACAUUAGCUUUUUUAUGAUUUUGAUUAUAAUGGGGCCUUAUUUAAAACACAUGGAUGUAGUAAUAUUCAACAGCUGCGCCGCUCUGCCUCAGGGGCAUUCUUUGUUCGGCUAGGAGGAAGGGAAAAAGGGGAAAGGAAAAGAAAAACUUCCACAUGCUAACAUUUACACAGUGAUUUCUUUUAAUUGCACUCUACUUUUUAAUUUGCCAUGGACUAAUGCUUUAAAAAAAAAAAAAAAAAAAAGAAAGAAAGAAAGAACUGGUGGCAUUUUAUUGAAGUCAUGCCUUGCACCGGACCAAGUUUUCCUGAUUGCUGUGGCCUUGUAGCCUGGCUUUUUCCUACCUGACAGCCUGCAUUAUUCCUAUCAUUUGCUAAGUCAAACAUGCCAUAAAGUAUUUCGACUCAGUAAGAUGAAGGGAACGCACUGACUGGGUGAGCUUCCUCUGGGUUCACUGAUGGAUUGAUAGAUUCACUGGGUGAGGGGAAAAGAUAAAAAGGAAUCCUGUUUGAAAGUGGGCUUGAAGUGGAUAUGCAAACGGCCUCUCAUUUUCUUUAAAGGGAAAGGAGAAGAAUGUUAAACUGAUUGUAAUCUAAGCAGCUAGAAGGCAGGUGUAAUAUUUAGUUAAACACUUCCAGUCAUUAAUAAAAC